UUCUCUCCAGAUCUGCCUGGAUUAUUUCUUCCUUCAUCGUCGAUGGGAGGCCCUUAAGAAUAACCUUAAUAGGUUUUUCGCUGAGUAACUGGAAAGUAUGAAAUGGUAUAUUUCUUUUCUGCAAAACCAGAGUUGCUUUUCUGUAUUGAUAAGGAUUUCAUGAAUUUUAGG